AGCGUACACGGUGGAUGCCCUGGCAGUCAGAGGCGAUGAAGGACGUGCUAAUCUGCGAUAAGCGUCGGUAAGGUGAUAUGAACCGUUAUAACCGGCGAUUUCCGAAUGGGGAAACCCAGUGUGUUUCGACACACUAUCAUUAACUGAAUCCAUAGGUUAAUGAGGCGAACCGGGGGAACUGAAACAUCUAAGUACCCCGAGGAAAAGAAAUCAACCGAGAUUCCCCCAGUAGCGGCGAGCGAACGGGGAGCAGCCCAGAGCCUGAAUCAGUGUGUGUGUUAGUGGAAGCGUCUGGAAAGGCGCGCGAUACAGGGUGACAGCCCCGUACACAAAAAUGCACAUGCUGUGAGCUCGAUGAGUAGGGCGGGACACGUGGUAUCCUGUCUGAAUAUGGGGGGACCAUCCUCCAAGGCUAAAUACUCCUGACUGACCGAUAGUGAACCAGUACCGUGAGGGAAAGGCGAAAAGAACCCCGGCGAGGGGAGUGAAAAAGAACCUGAAACCGUGUACGUACAAGCAGUGGGAGCACGCUUAGGCGUGUGACUGCGUACCUUUUGUAUAAUGGGUCAGCGACUUAUAUUCUGUAGCAAGGUUAACCGAAUAGGGGAGCCGAAGGGAAACCGAGUCUUAACUGGGCGUUAAGUUGCAGGGUAUAGACCCGAAACCCGGUGAUCUAGCCAUGGGCAGGUUGAAGGUUGGGUAACACUAACUGGAGGACCGAACCGACUAAUGUUGAAAAAUUAGCGGAUGACUUGUGGCUGGGGGUGAAAGGCCAAUCAAACCGGGAGAUAGCUGGUUCUCCCCGAAAGCUAUUUAGGUAGCGCCUCGUGAAUUCAUCUCCGGGGGUAGAGCACUGUUUCGGCAAGGGGGUCAUCCCGACUUACCAACCCGAUGCAAACUGCGAAUACCGGAGAAUGUUAUCACGGGAGACACACGGCGGGUGCUAACGUCCGUCGUGAAGAGGGAAACAACCCAGACCGCCAGCUAAGGUCCCAAAGUCAUGGUUAAGUGGGAAACGAUGUGGGAAGGCCCAGACAGCCAGGAUGUUGGCUUAGAAGCAGCCAUCAUUUAAAGAAAGCGUAAUAGCUCACUGGUCGAGUCGGCCUGCGCGGAAGAUGUAACGGGGCUAAACCAUGCACCGAAGCUGCGGCAGCGACGCUUAUGCGUUGUUGGGUAGGGGAGCGUUCUGUAAGCCUGCGAAGGUGUGCUGUGAGGCAUGCUGGAGGUAUCAGAAGUGCGAAUGCUGACAUAAGUAACGAUAAAGCGGGUGAAAAGCCCGCUCGCCGGAAGACCAAGGGUUCCUGUCCAACGUUAAUCGGGGCAGGGUGAGUCGACCCCUAAGGCGAGGCCGAAAGGCGUAGUCGAUGGGAAACAGGUUAAUAUUCCUGUACUUGGUGUUACUGCGAAGGGGGGACGGAGAAGGCUAUGUUGGCCGGGCGACGGUUGUCCCGGUUUAAGCGUGUAGGCUGGUUUUCCAGGCAAAUCCGGAAAAUCAAGGCUGAGGCGUGAUGACGAGGCACUACGGUGCUGAAGCAACAAAUGCCCUGCUUCCAGGAAAAGCCUCUAAGCAUCAGGUAACAUCAAAUCGUACCCCAAACCGACACAGGUGGUCAGGUAGAGAAUACCAAGGCGCUUGAGAGAACUCGGGUGAAGGAACUAGGCAAAAUGGUGCCGUAACUUCGGGAGAAGGCACGCUGAUAUGUAGGUGAAGCGACUUGCUCGUGGAGCUGAAAUCAGUCGAAGAUACCAGCUGGCUGCAACUGUUUAUUAAAAACACAGCACUGUGCAAACACGAAAGUGGACGUAUACGGUGUGACGCCUGCCCGGUGCCGGAAGGUUAAUUGAUGGGGUUAGCGCAAGCGAAGCUCUUGAUCGAAGCCCCGGUAAACGGCGGCCGUAACUAUAACGGUCCUAAGGUAGCGAAAUUCCUUGUCGGGUAAGUUCCGACCUGCACGAAUGGCGUAAUGAUGGCCAGGCUGUCUCCACCCGAGACUCAGUGAAAUUGAACUCGCUGUGAAGAUGCAGUGUACCCGCGGCAAGACGGAAAGACCCCGUGAACCUUUACUAUAGCUUGACACUGAACAUUGAGCCUUGAUGUGUAGGAUAGGUGGGAGGCUUUGAAGUGUGGACGCCAGUCUGCAUGGAGCCGACCUUGAAAUACCACCCUUUAAUGUUUGAUGUUCUAACGUUGACCCGUAAUCCGGGUUGCGGACAGUGUCUGGUGGGUAGUUUGACUGGGGCGGUCUCCUCCUAAAGAGUAACGGAGGAGCACGAAGGUUGGCUAAUCCUGGUCGGACAUCAGGAGGUUAGUGCAAUGGCAUAAGCCAGCUUGACUGCGAGCGUGACGGCGCGAGCAGGUGCGAAAGCAGGUCAUAGUGAUCCGGUGGUUCUGAAUGGAAGGGCCAUCGCUCAACGGAUAAAAGGUACUCCGGGGAUAACAGGCUGAUACCGCCCAAGAGUUCAUAUCGACGGCGGUGUUUGGCACCUCGAUGUCGGCUCAUCACAUCCUGGGGCUGAAGUAGGUCCCAAGGGUAUGGCUGUUCGCCAUUUAAAGUGGUACGCGAGCUGGGUUUAGAACGUCGUGAGACAGUUCGGUCCCUAUCUGCCGUGGGCGCUGGAGAACUGAGGGGGGCUGCUCCUAGUACGAGAGGACCGGAGUGGACGCAUCACUGGUGCC
rnacentral:rRNA from 1 species